CAAGAGAUAGUUUAAUUAAAAUGCCGGCUUUGGGGGUCGGGGUUGUGAGGCAGAACUUACUCUUUUGA
rnacentral:tRNA from 1 species